rnacentral:rRNA from 1 species
GCAGAAUCCCGUGAACCAUCGAGUCUUUGAACGCAAGUUGCGCCCGAAGCCAUUAGGCCGAGGGCACGUCUGCCUGGGUGUCACACAGAAGUUGCCCCAACCAACCAGCAUCCAUCGCGGUGCGGUUGCCGGGCGGAGGAUGGCCUCCCGCAGACGAGCGCUGCGGCUGGCCCAAACACGAGCCCGCGGGAGUCCCCCUUCGCGUUCACCUGUGGAAAGCCGUCACAAGCUCCCGGACGCGCAGGACCCUCCCGCGACGAACGACCCGAGAGCGAGCGAGCACCGCCCGCUCCCAACGCGACCC